rnacentral:rRNA from 1 species
UCAAGCUAAAAAGAGCGCAGGGUGGAUGCCUUGGCACUAAGAGCCGAUGAAAGACGUGAUAAGCUGCGAUAAGCUACGGGGAGGAGCACAUAUCCAUUGAUCCGUAGAUUUCUGAAUGGGGAAACCCGGCUGAGCAUACCUCAGUCACCGUGCACUGAAUCCAUAGGUGUACGGAGGGAACCCGGUGAACUGAAACAUCUAAGUAGCCGGAGGAAGAGAAAGAAAACUCGAUUUUCAAAGUAGCGGCGAGCGAAAUGGAAAGAGCCCAAACCGGAGUGCGUGCACUCCGGGGUUCGGACUGCAUUUAUGACUUCUGACUGUAGCGGAACGGUUCUGGAAAGACCGGCCAGAGAGGGUGAGAGCCCCGUAGGCGAAACGGAAAGAAGCAGAGCAGGAUCCAGAGUACCACGAGACACGAGAAACCUUGUGGGAAUGAGCGGGGACCACCCCGUAAGGCUAAAUACUCCUUAGUGACCGAUAGAGCAGAGUACUGUGAAGGAAAGGUGAAAAGGACCCCGGGAGGGGAGUGAAAGAGAACCUGAAACCCUGUGUUUACAAACUGUGGAAGUACCAUAUGAGUACAACCGCGUACUUUUUGUAGAACGGUCCGGCGAGUUACGUUUACUGGCGAGGUUAAGCACUUAAGGUGCGGAGCCGAAGGGAUACCAAGUCUUAACAGGGCGUUAAGUCAGUGUACGUAGACCCGAAACCGGGUGAUCUACCCAUGUCCAGGCUGAAGUUGCCGUAAAAGGCAAUGGAGGGCCGAACGCACAUCCGUUGAAAAGGGUGGCGAUGAGGUGUGGGUAGGGGAGAAAUUCCAAUCGAACCCGGAGAUAGCUGGUUCUCCUCGAAAUAGCUUUAGGGCUAGCCUCGUUUUAGUCUUAUGGAGGUAGAGCACUGAAUUUCCGCGGGGGCGUCAAAGCUUACCAAAGAAUAUCAAACUCCGAAUGCCAUGUAGAUGAUGAAUGGGAGUCAGACUGCACGAGAUAAGUUGGGUGGUCAAAAGGGAAAGAGCCCAGACCUACAGCUAAGGUCCCAAAGUGCGUGUUAAGUGGAAAAGGAUGUGGGAUUUCGAAGACAACUAGGAUGUUGGCUCAGAAGCAGCCAUACAUUCAAAGAGUGCGUAAUAGCUCACUAGUCGAGAGGUCCUGCGCCGAAAAUGUCCGGGGCUGAAACACGACACCGAAGCUUAGGACUCCAUUUAGGAGUGGUAGAGGAGCAUUGUUAGCGCAGCGAAGCUGUACCGAUAAGGAGCAGUGGAGUGCUAAGAAGAGAGAAUGCCGGAAUGAGUAGCGAGAGGAAGGUGAGAAUCCUUCCGGCCGAAUAUCCAAGGUUUCCAGAGUAAAGCUGAUCUGCUCUGGGUAAGUCGGGGCCUAAGGCGAGGUCGAAAGACGUAGUCGAUGGAUAACAGGUGGAGAUUCCUGUACUAUGUGUACCCAGAACUGUGGGGACGCAUGUGGAGAGCACGAGCCGGGAAAGAGAAAACCGGUACAAGCGGGGUAGGAGUAAGGACAGCAAAUCUUCCUUACAAUCCGAAGACGUAAUGUGGACCGAACCAAAGUAGGGAAGCGUGUGAGCCAUGUGCCAAGAAAAGCCGCUAUUGUGAUACACAUACCCGUACCGUAAACCGACACAGGUGGAUGAGGAGAGAAUCCUAAGGCCGACGGAAGAAGCAUUGUUAAGGAACUCGGCAAAAUGACCCCGUAACUUCGGGAGAAGGGGUGCCCUGUGAAAGCAGGGCCGCAGAGAAUAGGCUCAAGCAACUGUUUAGCAAAAACACAGGUCUAUGCGAAACCGAAAGGUGAGGUAUAUGGGCUGACGCCUGCCCGGUGCUGGAAGGUUAAGAGGAGAGGUUAGCGCAAGCGAAGCUUUGAAUUUAAGCCCCAGUAAACGGCGGCCGUAACUAUAACGGUCCUAAGGUAGCGAAAUUCCUUGUC